AUGGCGGACUGCGCGGUCCAGCCGCCCGCGAAGAUACGGCCAGCUGUUCCCAUGGCCCCGCCCCACGGAGAGGAGAGGAGGGCCCAGACCAAUGGCCACGCCUCCCCAGUCCGCCUGGCAGCCAAUCCCAGCAGCCCUGCAGGUAAACAAAGUAAGUCCAGCACCUCUCUUCAGCACAGACAGGGGGCGCUGCUGUGGGAGACUUUGAACCCCAGUGUACUAGGCAGUGAGCUCCCUUGCAUAAUGAUAUCAAUCCCUCCUGAUGUUUCAUAGGAGUUGAAUUACGGUUGAAUACGUGAUUAUAACAGAGGAUUUCAGUGCUCUCCAAGUCACUAUUUACAGAUGUUCUGCCUUGCGUUGUGCACAGUAAUGGAUGUUUUGGAUGGGGAUCCACAAAUCUACACAGGGAUCGGAUU
rnacentral:lncRNA from 1 species